GAGGACGUAGCUCAGUUGGUUAGAGUAUUGGCCUGUCACGUCAAAGGUCGCGGGUUCGAUCCCCGUCGUCCUCG